GGAGUUCAGCCGUGGGCUCUUCCGAGCUAUAAUACAGUGUCCGAAUUAAAAUCUGCAAUUUUAGAAGCUUGGGAAAGCUUGGAUCAAAAUUAUAUAAAGGAUCUGUACAGAAGUUUACCAAGAAGAAUGAUUGAAGUGGUACAUCGUCAAGGGCAGUCGACACAUUAUUAAAACUUAAAAAAAC